rnacentral:lncRNA from 1 species
UGGAGGAUAAGAAUAACCCUGUGGUGGAUAAGGCUGAGGCGGAUAUGCAGCUGAUGAGUAAGGUGAAGGAUAAGCAGCCGAUUGAGGGGGAUAAGGAGAUGCUGUAUGAUAUGCUGCUGAAGGGGGUGGGACUGUGGGAUAAGGAGAAGCUGGAUAAUAUGCUGAAGGAGGCGGGGCUGUGGAAUAAGGAGAUGGUGCUGGAUAGCCAGAAGGUGGUGGGUGAGAAGCUACAUGUGGUGGAGCUACUGAAUAUGGAUAUGAUCCAGGAGUUGGUGUUACAUAUGGAGGGCCUGAUUGAGCAUGGCUUGUUGCUGGCUUC